CCUACGGGUGGCAGCAGUGGGGAAUAUUGGGCAAUGGGCGCAAGCCUGACCCAGCAACGCCGCGUGAAGGAAGAAGGCUUUCGGGUUGUAAACUUCUUUUGUCAGGGACGAAGCAAGUGACGGUACCUGACGAAUAAGCCACGGCUAACUACGUGCCAGCAGCCGCGGUAAUACGUAGGUGGCAAGCGUUAUCCGGAUUUAUUGGGUGUAACGGGCGUGUAGGCGGGAAUGCACGGCAGAUGUGAAAACUAUGGGCUCAACCCAUAGCCUGCAUUUGAAACUGUAUUUCUUGAGUGCUGGAGAGGCAAUCGGAAGUCCGUGGGUAGCGGUGAAAUGCGUAGAUAUACGGAGGAACACCAGUGGCGAAGGCGGAUUGUUGGACAGUAACUGACGCUGAGGCGCGAAAGCGUGGGGAGCAAACAGGAUGAGAUACCCUGGUAGUC
rnacentral:rRNA from 1 species